CAAGGAAUUUUCGUCAAUGGGGGGAACCCUGAACGAGCAACGCCGCGUGGGCGAAGAAGUCCCUCGGGAUGUAAAGCCCUUUUCCCUGUGAAGAAAGAAAGACGGUAGCAGGGGAAUAAGCAUCGGCUAACUACGUGCCAGCAGCCGCGGUAAUACGUAGGAUGCAAGCGUUGUCCGGAAUUAUUGGGCGUAAAGAGCGCGCAGGCGGUUUUACAAGUCAGAUGUGAAAGAGGCCGGCUUAACCGGCAAGGGUCAUUUGAAACUGUGAGACUAGAGUGCAGCAGAGGAUAGCGGAAUUCCCGGUGUAGUGGUGAAAUGCGUAGAUAUCGGGAGGAACACCAGUGGCGAAGGCGGCUAUCUGGGCUGCAACUGACGCUGAGGCGCGAAGGCUAGGGUAGCAAACA
rnacentral:rRNA from 1 species